CCAGCAGCCGCGGUAAUUCCAGCUCCAAUAGCGUAUAUUAAAGUUGUUGCAGUUAAAAAGCUCGUAGUUGAAUUUCGGGAUCAAUUUAUUGGUCGUGCUAUUGUACGUACUGGUAUUAUUGAUUCCUACCUUCUGACGAACCAUGAUGUCAUUAAUUUGGUGUCAUGGGGAAUCAGGACUGUUACUUUGAAAAAUUAGAGUGUUUAAAGCAGGCUCACGCUUGAAUACAUUAGCAUGGAAUAACGAAAUAGGACGUUUGAUUCUAUUUUGUUGGUUUCUAGGGAUCGACGUAAUGAUUAAUAGGGAUAGUUGGGGGCAUUAGUAUUCAAUUGUCAGAGGUGAAAUUCUUGGAUUUAUUGAAGACUAACUACUGCGAAAGCAUUUGCCAAGGAUGUUUUCAUUAAUCAAGAACGAAAGUUAGGGGGAUCGAAGACGAUCAGAUACCGUCGUAGUCUUAACCAUAAACUAUGCCGACUAGGGAUCGGAUGAUGUUAAUUUUUUAAUGACUCAUUCGGCGCCUUACG
rnacentral:rRNA from 1 species